AUUGAACGCUGGCGGCAUGCCUUACACAUGCGAGUCGAACGACGCUAGGGGCAACUCUAGCGAGUGGCGUACGGGUGAGUAAUGCAUCGGAACGUGCCCUCUCGUGGGGGAUAACCAGUCGAAAGAUUGGCUAAUACCGCAUGAGCUCGAGAGAGGAAAGCGGGGGACCGCAAGGCCUCGCGCGAGAGGAGCGGCCGAUGCCCGAUUAGCUAGUUGGUGGGGUAAUGGCCCACCAAGGCGACGAUCUGUAGCUGGUCUGAGAGGACGACCAGCCACACUGGAACUGAGACACGGUCCAGACUCCUACGGGAGGCAGCAGUGGGGAAUUUUGGACAAUGGGCGAAAGCCUGAUCCAGCCAUUCCGCGUGCAGGAUGAAGGCCCUCGGGUUGUAAACUGCUUUUGUACAGAACGAAAAGGUUUCUACUAAUACUAGGAGCUCAUGACGGUACUGUAAGAAUAAGCACCGGCUAACUACGUGCCAGCAGCCGCGGUAA
rnacentral:rRNA from 1 species